GGGAUCUUGACUGAACCUUCUGGAGACCAAGAAGGGAGUGAGAGAUCCACUUCAUCCUUACAACAGACACCAAGUGACCUGACUGAACCCUCUGGAGACCAUGAAUGGAGUGAGAUAUCCACUUCAUUCUUACAACAGACACCAAGUGACCUGACUGAACCCUCUGGAGACCAUGAAUGGAAUGAUAGAUACACUUCAUCCUUACAACAGACAUCAAGUGACAGGUACCUGACUGAACCCUCUGGAAACCAAGAAUGGAGUGAGAGAUCCACUUCAUCCUUACAACAGGUUACUACUUCUUAUCAUGAUAUACUAGGUUUGAGUUUUCAGCUUUCUUUGACAAACACAGGAGAAGUUAUAAAUCAGAAACAUGGACUCUCCAUGAUUUCAGUCGUCAUGUCCUCAUAUUUCUUUAGACCUGAAAAACCCGAGUGUGUUUCAGGUGACAUGACUUUUGCCUUAACCUAACAUCUGGAGAGCCUGUGUUCGAAUGUCCCCAUAUUGCUGUACCACAGAACUGAACAGUGUUAACUUUCUAUAGUGUGGUAUAUUCAUCCCAAACUCUCCCGUGAGC